CCUUCCCCUAGUACGGUGGGGCAUGAAUAUGGGAUGCAUACUUUGUGUUCAAGGCCACCCACCCAGUGCAGCCCUUCCUGCAUCAAGGACAGUCCUGGGAGGAUGACACCGGGGCUGGUGGCCCCAGAUGGCCAGAGGCCCAGGGAGAAACCAGCCUCCCCACUCCGUACAGCUCUGCCUGAGCCUGCUGUUCUCUCUUUGCAGAGGUGAUUUUUGCAAUCACUUUGAAGUGAGCCCAGCCACGCCACCUUUACACACGUGACACCCAGCCUCCAGGUAGUGACAGUAAGAAGAAGGACCUGUUUCACCCUCAGGAGGUUGCAGGCUGCUGAAUUCAGAGCCCAAAGGGGAGAGGAGUGCUGAAUUAUUGCUAUUUGGCAUCUAUGUGCAAGGUGCGCGGGAAGGAAAGGAAAUGAAGAGGCUGAGAAGAAAGCAAGCGAGACGCCCGCGACGUCACUCUGCCUCUGGCAGGAAGGUCUCCGGAGGACCCAGGCGCCAGGGCUCCUGCCGCAGCAGCCCAGUGCCCGGCUGCAAGGUUUCCAUAUCUACGGAGAAGGACCCUGCGGCUGGGCACCUGGGCCUGCACUGCUCUCCUCUGCUCUGUGGGUGCCAAGGACACUGCCAGGGCCACCUGAGCGUCCUUCUCAUUCUGCACAGUGGCUGUGAUGCUGUGGCCAACAGAGGAAUCUCUAUCAUCAUCAUAAACAUCUGGCUUGGGAGAAAGUUUUCAGCAGACAAAGCACAGAACCACAGAUGCCACUUCUAAGUGAUCCUAUAUUUCAAUAAAAUCCUGGACGAGGGCAUUUUCCAGGCUGUGUGUGCAUCACGGCAUAGAUAAAGCGUGGGGUCACAACAUCUGUCCAAAAGUGAAGAGAUGAAGACCGUAUUUGAAGUCCGUCAAACUUACCAGCUGCCUAAGUUUUAGCAGGAUAGUUAUUAGUGCACAUAAUUUCAAUCAUCAAGAACCACUUAAAAAUUUUUAGGGCAAACUCAAUCUGAAUGUUUAUCUGGCACAAACCUUAAUUGGAAAGACGGUAACAAAAGCACCAUCAUCAAUUUUAAGAGAUUGGGUUGCUUCUUUGAGGCUGUCAGGAGGUGUGCAAUCAUUCAUCUCCUCUCCACUGAGCUGGGCUCACCAUGGAUGUCAUGUUAGUGAGAAAUCGUCAUCUCCUGGAGUUUCCUGUGGAUACGGCUGGCUCACAUGAGCCCUUUGUCACAAUAAACUGAGCCAGAACAUCAAACCCCUCCUCAAGCAAACCAUUUUUACUCUCCUGGUGCUGCUUAAAAGCUUAUUAAAAUAACUGAAACUUAAGCCAGUGUUUUAUAUUCUAUUUGGAUAAAAAGUGCGAUUUUCAGUCAACACCCUUAUGUCCUCAAUUAUCGACUUGACUGAUACUUUUUGCUUUAUUAUUUUUUCUUUGCUAAACCAAAUAUAGUAGAUGAUGUAUUGCUAUCACAUAAAAAGGAUCACAACACAUUUAAAAUGUGCAAGUAUGACCCACUCGAUUUUUAUUACGCUCUGGAAAGCAAAUGAAUAAAUCAAGAGGAACCAAAUCCAAACGCAGCUCUGAAGUGGAGUCCAGCCUUUGAAACUGGCUUCCAAUUAAUCACGGCUGCCCUUUCCGUGAGGGGGCACUUGUGGAGUCACUGACACGGUUACAGCAUGCAUGUGUGUGAACUGUAUGCCACGCAUUCCGCGGAGCGAGGCUCAGUGAAAUUAGAAUCUCUCCCUGUAGGGGGUAGACGUUGACCGCAGUUCAAUGCCCACGAUUGUGGCUCAAGUAUGCGGUGAAGAAUGACUUCUAAACUGCAUUUACUCCCCAUCAGUGAUGUCAAAAGCAAUUCUUGAAGACAUAUGUUUAGCUCGCAGUAAUUAAUUAAACCUCUCAUAGCAGCGACUUUAUCCAGGCUAAAUCAUUUCUGAAUAUACACAAAGGAGCCAUCAGGAUCCUAGCGUCAUGGGUUUUAAAUCAUCAUUUUUCCAUGAUGGCCAUCUCGAAUAGCUAGAAAACACAAACAAAACAUUGGCCCAUGGGGGAUUAUUUAAGCACUGCGAUAGUACUUUGUCUGGGUUUGUCUGUUCACUCUGUGUGUGCCCAUUGUCCUUUGAGAGGCAUCACCUCCCGGACUAAUCCUUCAAACACAGAAUUCCUAAUUUUAAAAUAUCAAUGCGAAAGUCUAUGACUACAGAGGAUGACAUGCUGGCAGUGGUUAUGGCAUCCGUGUCAGUUCCGCUCGUCUUUGCACUCUGUUUGUGGUAGUUAUUUGAGAA